rnacentral:lncRNA from 1 species
UGCUGGGUGUGGGCAGAGAGGUUCCUCCACUACUCCUAGAGGGCUGCCUCAACAGACUGUAGGAAAAUUAAUUCAUGGACUGCUCGAGUUAAACACCGGGAGCAGUGGAUCACUGAACAAUCUGCAGAAGGGCUCUGGAGACACACUAACACUGCAGAGCUGGGAUGUUUUCUCCAGGGAAGGGCCUGGACAGCACAGCUGAGCACCAUCAACUUGCGCAGCCAUGAGGUUUUUGAGCCUUCAAGACCGUUUUACUGGUCUGCAUUUUUUUGGAUCAUUUUCUAAAGGAGAUCAAGGCCAGCAUUCCUCGCUGCCAUGGGACUGCGUAUUGAAGAAAUGUCAUUGGAUACUGCACUAAAGCUGUGGCUGCUCUUUCUGCUUCCUACAUUCAUUUUCCACUGUGGAGUUGAGAGAGACACUUGUGGAAGUCUAGCUGCGUUCUUCUAGUCACCUGAGACCUCUGAUAUUUGUCAUCAUUAGCACAGUAGAAAACCUGAAUAAAGUUGGCACAAAGGAAAAUCUUUAUUCUGAGAUCGGCACCCCAGCUAACCUACCUAAUUUACUGCAUCUGGCUUGCCUACAAAAACACAAGACAAAGACAUUUCCAGCAUUUCAGUAACAAACUCAUCCAAAAAGCACCGGCUAGCUCUUACUUUAUGAGACAUUAGCUUGUCCAUGACUAUUCCAACACACCCUAUCAUUCCAACAGUUUUUCAAGCCUGGUCAACACCCCUGAUUCCCAAAUGACUUCUGCUUUAAUCCUCUUAAAGCAGGAAUGCUGGCUUUAUUUCUUGGCUCCAGUCACAGACUCUGUGGUUUUAGGGAUAUUUGAGUACCAAUAUUGGUUUUCUCUUUAACUGUUGAUGCUUUCCAAAGACUGUAUAUGCAGUUAAACUGCCAUUAAAUGCCAUAUUUUUCAAAUCUGUCUUGCUCAUUACAGUAUGAGAUACAAGCUGAAACUAUAAUCUGUAUUAGGAGGCUGCGUGUCUUCUGGUGUUGGGUAAUGGAGCAUUCUGAAGAUAUUUCCAUGUUGCCAAAAACAACAAUAAAAUCAAGAGACAGCGUGUCGCAUUUCCCUUAUAGACAGAUCCAGCUGUUCUCAAGUGCCUGGAAAAUCACAAGGGUGAGCAGCCACAAUAGUUAGUCCAUCAGCACUACUCAUUUGGCUGCCAGAACCAGCUGAUCUGAACCUUCAGUAGCUCCAUUUUAUAGGCAGUGGCCUUAACUGUCAUGAGAGUGCAGACUUUUUCUCCCAUUUAACCUGAGCUUCUCUUGCAUGAAAACACAUACAAGGAAUGGAGACCAACUCAUUUUGUCCCGGCCUGGCAGUUGCCUAUGGGCAGCCCUAGAUAGAAGUCCUGUUGGAUUUUCCUGAUGAAGAACACCAUAUGGUGGGCUGAGAUUUGCUUGAGCCUUGAGAUGCAAGGACUCAAGUAGUAUAUGUGUUGUUCAUAUCCCUGUGAAAGGACAGCAGAGUUUACAUCAUGCCCUUUCUUCAAGGCAUACUCAAAACUGCAAUUGUG